UGUCCAAAUCUGUGCAUCAAAAUAAGUACCUAACCUGAUAGUGAAACGGGUCGUUUCAUGGGGGUUGUGACACUCAAAAACGUGUAUCCACUGAUUUAGAUGUCCCUUUCCCAAUGUAAAGUCUAUGGGG